rnacentral:tRNA from 1 species
UCCCUGGUGGCUGGGUGGUACAGAAUCUGCCUGCAACGCAGGAGACCCUGGGUUCAAUCCCUGGAUGGGGAA